rnacentral:rRNA from 1 species
CAGUCGCCGCGGGAACACGAAGGGGGCCAGCGUUGCUCGGAAUGACUGGGCGUAAAGGGCGCGUAGGCGGAUGGCACAGUCAGAUGUGAAAUUCCCGGGCUUAACCUGGGGGCUGCAUUUGAUACGUGUUGUCUAGAGUGAGGAAGAGGGUCGUGGAAUUCCCAGUGUAGAGGUGAAAUUCGUAGAUAUUGGGAUGAACACCGGUGGAGAAGGCGGCGACCUGGUCCUUUACUGACGCUGAGGCGCGAAAGCGUGAGGAGCAAACAGGAUUAGAUACCCCCGUAGUCCCUGUCUCUUAUAC